UACGGAGGGUGCAAGCGUUGUUCGGAUUUAUUGGGCGUAAAGCGCGUGUAGGCGGUUUCUUAAGUCUGAUGUGAAAGCCCUGGGCUCAACCCAGGAAGUGCAUUGGAUACUGGGAGACUUGAAUACGGGAGAGGGUAGUGGAAUUCCUAGUGUAGGAGUGAAAUCCGUAGAUAUUAGGAGGAACACCGGUGGCGAAGGCGGCAUCCUGGACCGACACUGACGCUGAGGAGCGAAAGCCAGGGGAGCAAACGGG
rnacentral:rRNA from 1 species